GACGAACGCUGGCGGCGUGCCUAAUACAUGCAAGUAGAACGCUGAAGGAGGAGCUUGCUUCUCUGCAUGAGUUGCGAACGGGUGAGUAACACGUAGGUAACCUGCCUGUUAGCGGGGGAUAACUAUUGGAAACGAUAGCUAAUACCGCAUAAUAGCAGUUACUGCAUGGUAACUGUUUGAAAGGUGCAGUUGCUCCACUACCAGUCGGACCUGCGUUGUAUGGGCUAGUUGGUGGGGCAACGCCUCACCAAGGCGAGGAUACAUAGCCGACCUGCGAGGGGGGUCGGCCAGCCUGGGAGUGAGACACGGCCCAGACUGCUUCGGGAAGCAGCAGUAGGGAAACUUCGGGCAUGGGUGGAAGUCUGACCGCAAAACGCCGAGGCCGGGAAGAACGUCUUCGGAUCGUAAAUCUCGGCUGUAGGGGAAGAACGCGUGUGAGACUGGAAAGAACACACUGUGACGGUAUCUUACCAGAAAGGAACGGCUAACUACGUG
rnacentral:rRNA from 1 species